AGUCUGCAACCCGACUUCGUGAAGCUGGAUUCGCUAGUAAUCGCGCAUCAGCCAUGGCGCGGUGAAUACGUUCCCGGGCCUUGUACACACCACCCGUCAAGCCAUGAAAGCCGGGGGUACCUGAAGUACGUAACCGCAAGGAUCGUCCUAGGGUAAAACUGGUAAUUGGGGCUAAGUCGUAACAAGGUACC
rnacentral:rRNA from 1 species